CGGGGUAUAGCGCAGUUGGUAGCGCGCGCCGUUCGGGUCGGCGAGGCCGGCAGUUCGAGUCUGCCUACCCCGA
rnacentral:tRNA from 1 species